GCAUUAAUGGGGUAGUGGUAACCUGGGUCGUUGCCAUAUUCCGUCUGAAAAGGUUUCUCGACCCGCCGGGGGUUCAAUUCCCUCUUAAUGCA